AUUGAACGCUGGCGGCAGGCCUAACACAUGCAAGUCGAACGAGUGGCGGACGGGUGAGUAAUGUCUGGGAAACUGCCUGAUGGAGGGGGAUAACUACUGGAAACGGUAGCUAAUACCGCAUACCAUCAGAUGUGCCCAGAUGGGAUUAGCUUGUUGGGUGGGUAACGGCUCACCAAGGCGACGAUCCCUAGCUGGUCUGAGAGGAUGCACAGCCAAACUGGAACUGAGACACGGGCCAGACUCCUACGGGAGGCAGCAGGGGGGAAUAUUGCACAAUGGGCGCAAGCCUGAUGGAGGCAAGGCGCGUGUAUUAAGAAGGCCCUUGGGUUUGAAAGUACUUUCAGCGGGGAGGCGGUACCCGCAGAAGAAGCACCGGCUAACUCCGUGCCAGCAGCCGCGGUAAUAC
rnacentral:rRNA from 1 species